GAUCUCAAGUGAAGCGAGACUACCCCCUGAAUUUAAGCAUAUUAUUAAGGGGAGGAAAAGAAAAUAACAAUGAUUCCCCUAGUAACGGCGAGUGAAGCGGGAAGAGCUCAAAUUUGUAAUCUGGCACUUUCAGUGUCCGAGUUGUAAUCUCGAGAAGUGUUUUCCGCGCCGGACCGCAUACAAGUCUGUUGGAAUACAGCGUCAUAGUGGUGAGAACCCCGUAACUGAUGCGGAUGCCCGGUGCUUUGUGAUACACUUUCGAAGAGUCGAGUUGUUUGGGAAUGCAGCUCAAAUUGGGUGGUAAAUUCCAUCUAAAGCUAAAUAUUGGCGAGAGACCGAUAGCGAACAAGUACCGUGAGGGAAAGAU
rnacentral:rRNA from 1 species